UUUGAAAAGCAGUGGCGAACGGGUGCGUAACACGUGAACAAUCUACCUUUUAGUGUGGAAUAGCUCGGCGAAAGCCGGAUUAAUACCGCAUGUGGUUGUCCUUCUCCUGAAGGGCAUACUAAAGUCAGGGACCGCAAGGCCUGACGCUAUUAGAGGAGUUCGCGGCCUAUCAGCUAGUUGGCGAGGUAACGGCCCACCAAGGCUAAGACGGGUAGCUGAUCUGAGAGGAUGAUCAGCCACACUGGAACUGAGACACGGUCCAGACACC
rnacentral:rRNA from 1 species